rnacentral:rRNA from 1 species
UACGUAGGGCGCAAGCGUUGUCCGGAAUUAUUGGGCGUAAAGAGCUCGUAGGCGGUUUGUCGCGUCUGCUGUGAAAACCUAAGGCUCAACCUUGGGCUUGCAGUGGGUACGGGCAGACUAGAGUGCGGUAGGGGUGACUGGAAUUCCUGGUGUAGCGGUGGAAUGCUCAGAUAUCAGGAGGAACACCGGUGGCGAAGGCGGGUCUCUGGGCCGAUACUGACGCUGAGGAGCGAAAGCGUGGGGAGCGAACAGG